rnacentral:rRNA from 1 species
CGACAUCGAAAGCUUGCUUUUGAUGGGCGUCGACCGGCGCACGGGUGAGUAACGCGUAUCCAACCUGCCCACCACUUGGGGAUAACCUUGCGAAAGUAAGACUAAUACCCAAUGACGUCUCUAGAAGACAUCUGAAGGAGAUUAAAGAUUUAUCGGUGAUGGAUGGGGAUGCGUCUGAUUAGCUUGUUGGCGGGGUAACGGCCCACCAAGGCAACGAUCAGUAGGGGUUCUGAGAGGAAGGUCCCCCACAUUGGAACUGAGACACGGUCCAAACUCCUACGGGAGGCAGCAGUGAGGAAUAUUGGUCAAUGGGCGAGAGCCUGAACCAGCCAAGUAGCGUGCAGGAUGACGGCCCUAUGGGUUGUAAACUGCUUUUAUAAGGGAAUAAAGUGAGUCUCGUGAGACUUUUUGCAUGUACCUUAUGAAUAAGGACCGGCUAAUUCCGUGCCAGCAGCCGCGGUAAUACGGAAGGUCCGGGCGUUAUCCGGAUUUAUUGGGUUUAAAGGGAGCGUAGGCCGGAGAUUAAGCGUGUUGUGAAAUGUAGACGCUCAACGUCUGCACUGCAGCGCGAACUGGUUUCCUUGAGUACGCACAAAGUGGGCGGAAUUCGUGGUGUAGCGGUGAAAUGCUUAGAUAUCACGAAGAACUCCGAUUGCGAAGGCAGCUCACUGGAGCGCAACUGACGCUGAAGCUCGAAAGUGCGGGUAUCGAACAGGAUUAGAUACCCUGGUAGUCCGCACGGUAAACGAUGGAUGCCCGCUGUUGGUCUGAAUAGGUCAGCGGCCAAGCGAAAGCAUUAAGCAUCCCACCUGGGGAGUACGCCGGCAACGGUGAAACUCAAAGGAA